rnacentral:rRNA from 1 species
UAGGGAAUCUUCCGCAAUGGGUGAAAGCCUGACGGAGCAACGCCGCGUGAGUGAUGAAGGUCUUCGGAUCGUAAAACUCUGUUAUUAGGGAAGAAUAUAUGUGUAAGUAACUGUGCACAUCUUGACGGUACCUAAUCAGAAAGCCACGGCUAACUACGUGCCAGCAGCCGCGGUAAUACGUAGGUGGCAAGCGUUAUCCGGAAUUAUUGGGCGUAAAGCGCGCGUAGGCGGUUUUUUAAGUCUGAUGUGAAAGCCCACGGCUCAACCGUGGAGGGUCAUUGGAAACUGGAAAACUUGAGUGCAGAAGAGGAAAGUGGAAUUCCAUGUGUAGCGGUGAAAUGCGCAGAGAUAUGGAGGAACACCAGUGGCGAAGGCGGCUUUCUGGUCUGUAACUGACGCUGAUGUGCGAAAGCGUGGGGAUCAAACAGGAUUAGAUACCCUGGUAGUCCACGCCGUAAACGGUGAGUGCUAAGUGUUAGGGGGUUUCCGCCCCUUAGUGCUGCAGCUAACGCAUUAAGCACUCCGCCUGGGGAGUACGACCGCAAGGUUG